CUUAUUUCGGUGUUCCUUACUGGAUUUGUUGCUUUUUUCUCCAAAGCCUGAUAUGCUUUUAGAGGGGAAGGUUGUUAAGCUUUCACAAGAUUCCAUUCAUGUUGUCGUGCUUGGAUUUUCUUCUGCGAUUGUAACCGAGAAAGACUUUAGGGAAGAAUUCGUGUACAAAACUAAACAUGAGCAAGAUGUGUAUGCAAGCAAAUCUCACAAGAGACAUGUUAUCAAAGUUGGAACUUUGAUACGGUUUUCAGUCAAGAGGUAACAUGCUGUUAAUUUAUUUCAA